rnacentral:rRNA from 1 species
CCCUUAGAUGUCCUGGGCCGCACGCGCGCUACACUGAUGCAUGCAACGAGUUUAUAACCUUGGCCUGAAAGGUCUGGGUAAUCUUUUGAACGUGCAUCGUGAUAGGGAUAGAUUAUUGCAAUUGUUAAUCUUGAACGAGGAAUUCCUAGUAAACGCGAGUCAUCAGCUCGCAUUGAUUACGUCCCUGCCCUUUGUACACACCGCCCGUCGCACCUACCGAUUGAACGGUUUAGUGAGGGCCUCGGAUUGGUCUCGGCCCGCUCUUUACCGGGCGGCGCCGUUGGUCGAGAAGACGCUCGAACUUGAUCGUUUAGAGGAAGUAAAAGUCGUAACA